GCUCCAGCUUAUCGCUCGUUCGCUGGCUUGCUUCUGGCCGCUGGAAAGAGUGCCUUUGGGUAGCCUAAUAGAGGGAGGCUCACAGCCCUGCCGUGUACAGAGCAGGGCAGAUAGCACCCCCCUCCACCACCUCCCGCACCAGCCCUCCUUCCGCUCCGAGCCUUAGCCGCUGGUGUGGGGCAGCAACCAAGCCAACUCCGGGGCUUCCCUUCUCGUGCGCUGGCCCUUCGUGGCUUGAUUCCUGGACUUCAUGAUGACAGACAGGCUGAUCAUAGUUUUUCUGGAGUUCUGUGUACUGGAUCUUCUUUCCUUUCCUUGUUUACCUUGGUGUAAACAGCUUAUAUGUGCAUUUAAAGACUGGGGUGAAAGCUGGCAUGAUAUAAUUACCACUGUAGUGGGUGAUAAUAAAAUUCCAUUCAUUU